rnacentral:rRNA from 1 species
GAUGAACGCUAGCGGCAGGCCUAACACAUGCAAGUCGAGGGGUAGAAGGAGCUUGCUCCUUUGAGACCGGCGCACGGGUGCGUAACGCGUAUGCAAUCUACCUUGUACAGGGGAAUAGCCCAGAGAAAUUUGGAUUAAUGCCCCAUAGUAUAUAACCUUCGCAUGUUGGUUAUAUUAAAGUUCCAACGGUACAAGAUGAGCAUGCGUCCCAUUAGUUAGUUGGUAAGGUAACGGCUUACCAAGACGAUGAUGGGUAGGGGUCCUGAGAGGGAGAUCCCCCACACUGGUACUGAGCCACGGACCAGACUCCUACGGGAGGCAGCAGUGAGGAAUAUUGGUCAAUGGUCGCAAGACUGAACCAGCCAUGCCGCGUGCAGGAAGACGGUCCUAGGGAUGGUAAACUGCUUUUAGACAGGAAGAAACCCUCCCACGUGUGGGAGCUUGACGGUACUGGAGGAAUAAGGAUCGGCUAACUCCGUG